CGACGAUGCGUAGGGGUUCUGAGAGGAAGGUCCCCCACACUGGUACUGAGACACGGACCAGACUCCUACGGGAGGCAGCAGUGAGGAAUAUUGGUCAAUGGGCGGGAGCCUGAACCAGCCAAGUCGCGUGAGGGAUGACGGCCCUAUGGGUUGUAAACCUCUUUUGCCGGGGAGCAAAGUGCCGCACGUGUGCGGUUUGGAGAGUACCCGGAGAAAAAGCAUCGGCUAACUCCGUGCCAGCAGCCGCGGUAAUACGGAGGAUGCGAGCGUUAUCCGGAUUUAUUGGGUUUAAAGGGUGCGUAGGCGGACGCUUAAGUCAGCGGUAAAAUUGCGGGGCUCAACCUCGUCGAGCCGUUGAAACUGGGUGCCUUGAGUGGGCGAGAAGUACGCGGAAUGCGUGGUGUAGCGGUGAAAUGCAUAGAUAUCACGCAGAACUCCGAUUGCGAAGGCAGCGUACCGGCGCCCAACUGACGCUGAAGCACGAAGGCGUGGGUAUCGAACAGGAUUAGAUACCCUGGUAGUCCACGCAGUAAACGAUGAAUGCUAGU
rnacentral:rRNA from 1 species